rnacentral:lncRNA from 1 species
CUUCCGGGGAUGCCGACCCCCUCUACUUCUACCCCAUAGAUCCGAAACCUCUAGCUUUGUAUUUCUCCUUUGUGGUGAUAUAUAUAUUUCUUUUGUUCUCUUGUACUUGAAACUUAUUUGAUCAAUGAAGCUGGAUUCAUAUUCUUUUCAUAUUCUUUUCCUUCUUUUGGUCUUCUUGCAUUGAUUUGAGUCGUGGCGCUCUUAUCUUCCAAUGACAGUGCCCUACCAAAGCUCUUCCCCUGUCGGAGGGUACUCCCAUGAAGUCGAUGAUACGAGACCUCCAAAGGGAAGUUCGUCGGUUGACAGGGAAAUCUAAGAAGUUAGAAGAUGAACUCCACCA